rnacentral:rRNA from 2 species
UUGGAGAGUUUGAUCCUGGCUCAGGAUGAACGCUGGCGGCGUGCCUAAUACAUGCAAGUCGAACGAGUUCUCGUUGAUGAUCGGUGCUUGCACCGAGAUUCAACAUGGAACGAGUGGCGGACGGGUGAGUAACACGUGGGUAACCUGCCCUUAAGUGGGGGAUAACAUUUGGAAACAGAUGCUAAUACCGCAUAGAUCCAAGAACCGCAUGGUUCUUGGCUGAAAGAUGGCGUAAGCUAUCGCUUUUGGAUGGACCCGCGGCGUAUUAGCUAGUUGGUGAGGUAACGGCUCACCAAGGCGAUGAUACGUAGCCGAACUGAGAGGUUGAUCGGCCACAUUGGGACUGAGACACGGCCCAAACUCCUACGGGAGGCAGCAGUAGGGAAUCUUCCACAAUGGACGCAAGUCUGAUGGAGCAACGCCGCGUGAGUGAAGAAGGCUUUCGGGUCGUAAAACUCUGUUGUUGGAGAAGAAUGGUCGGCAGAAUAACUGUUGUCGGCGUGACGGUAUCCAACCAGAAAGCCACGGCUAACUACGUGCCAGCAGCCGCGGUAAUAA